UACGUAGGGUGCGAGCGUUAAUCGGAAUUACUGGGCGUAAAGCGUGCGCAGGCGGUAAGUUAAGUCUGUUGUGAAAGCCCUGGGCUCAACCUGGGAAUUGCAGUGGAUACUGGGCGACUAGAGUGUGGUAGAGGGUAGUGGAAUUCCUGGUGUAGCAGUGAAAUGCGUAGAGAUCAGGAGGAACAUCCAUGGCGAAGGCAGCUACCUGGACCAACACUGACACUGAGGCACGAAAGCGUGGGGAGCAAACAGG
rnacentral:rRNA from 1 species